UGCCAGACUCCUACGGGAGGCAGCAGUGAGGAAUAUUGGUCAAUGGGCGAGAGCCUGAACCAGCCAAGUCGCGUGAGGGAAGACGGUCCUAUGGAUUGUAAACCUCUUUUGUCGGGGAGCAAAAAGGCCUCGUGAGGCCACAAGUGAGAGUACCCGAAGAAAAAGCAUCGGCUAACUCCGUGCCAGCAGCCGCGGUAAUACGGAGGAUGCGAGCGUUAUUCGGAUUUAUUGGGUUUAAAGGGUGCGUAGGCGGGCUGUUAAGUCAGCGGUCAAAUGUCGGGGCUCAACCCCGGCCUGCCGUUGAAACUGGCGGCCUCGAGUGGGCGAGAAGUAUGCGGAAUGCGUGGUGUAGCGGUGAAAUGCAUAGAUAUCACGCAGAACUCCGAUUGCGAAGGCAGCAUACCGGCGCCCGACUGACGCUGAGGCACGAAAGCGUGGGUAUCGAACAGGAUUAGAUACCCUUGUAC
rnacentral:rRNA from 1 species